rnacentral:rRNA from 1 species
AUUGAACGCUGGCGGCAGGCUUAACACAUGCAAGUCGAGCGGAGUGAUGGUGCUUGCACUAUCACUUAGCGGCGGACGGGUGAGUAUGCUUAGGAAUCUGCCUAUUAGUGGGGGACAACAUCUCGAAAGGGAUGCUAAUACCGCAUACGUCCUACGGGAGAAAGCAGGGGAUCACUUGUGACCUUGCACUAAUAGAUGAGCCUAAGUCGGAGUAGCUAGUUGGUGGGGUAAAGGCCUACCAAGGCGACGAUCUGUAGCGGGUCUGAGAGGAUGAUCCGCCACACUGGGACGGAGACACGGCCCAGACUCCUACGGGAGGCAGCAGUGGGGAAUAUUGGACAAUGGGGGGAACCCUGAUCCAGCCAUGCCGCGUGUGUGAAGAAGGCCUUAUGGUUGUAAAGCACUUUAAGCGAGGAGGAGGCUCUUUUGGUUAAUACCCAAGAUGAGUGGACGUUACUCGCAGAAUAAGCACCGGCUAACUCUGUGCCAGCAGCCGCAGUAA